UAAAUCUGUGUCAGCAACUUUCAGGUAUAC
rnacentral:piRNA from 1 species